GCGCGCGUGGCGGAAUGGCAGACGCGCCAGACUUAGGAUCUGGUUCCGCAAGGAGUGGAGGUUCAAAUCCUCUCGCGCGCACCA
rnacentral:tRNA from 2 species